UACGUAGGGUGCAAGCGUUGUCCGGAAUUAUUGGGCGUAAAGAGCUCGUAGGCGGUUUGUCGCGUCUGGUGUGAAAAAUCCAGGGCUUAACCCUGGACCUGCAUCGGGUACGGGCAGACUAGAGUGCGGGUAGGGGAGAUCGGAAUUCCUGGUGUAGCGGUGAAAAUGCGCAGAUAUCAGGAGGAACACCGGUGGCGAAGGCGGGUCUCUGGGCCGUAACUGACGCUGAGGAGCGAAAGCGUGGGGAGCGAACAGG
rnacentral:rRNA from 1 species